UCCGUAGGUGGAUAAUUAAGUCAGAGGUGAAAUCCUGCAGCUCAACUGUAGAAUUGCCUUUGAUACUGGUUAUCUUGAGUCAUUAUGAAGUGGUUAGAAUGUGUAGUGUAGCGGUGAAAUGCAUAGAUAUUACACAGAAUACCGAUUGCGAAGGCAGGUCACUAAUAAUGUACUGACACUGAGGGACGAAAGCGUGGGGAGCGAACAGGAUUAGAUACCCUGGUAGUCC
rnacentral:rRNA from 1 species